CUACGGGACGCACCAGUGAGGAAUAUUGCACAAUGGGGGGAACCCUGAUGCAGCAACGCCGCGUGGAGGAUGACGCAUUUCGGUGUGUAAACUCCUUUUAUAUGUCAAGAAAAUGACGGUAGCAUAUGAAUAAGCACCGGCUAGACUCCGUGCCAGCAGCCGCGGUAAUACGGAGGGUGCAAGCGUUACUCGGAAUCACUGGGCGUAAAGGACGCGUAGGCGGGUUGGAAAGUCAGGUGUGAAAUCCUACAGCUUAACUGUAGAACUGCACUUGAAACUUCUAAUCUAGAGUAUGGGAGGGGGAGAUGGAAUUAGUGGUGUAGGGGUAAAAUCCGUAGAUAUCACUAGGAAUACCUAAAGCGAAGGCGAUCUCCUGGAACAUUACUGACGCUAAGGCGUGAAAGCGUGGGGAGCAAACAGGAUUAGAUACCCCCGUAGUC
rnacentral:rRNA from 1 species